rnacentral:rRNA from 1 species
AAGUGGAGCAAUCCAUGAGUAUAGUGGCGACCGGGUGAGUAACACGUGACUACCUGCCCUUGAGUGGGGGAUAACCUCGGGAAACCGAGGCUAAUACCGCAUAAUAUCGAAAGAUCAAAGAAGCAAUCCGCUUUUGGAGGGGGUCGCGGCUGAUUAGCUAGUUGGUAGGGUAAUGGCCUACCAAGGCGAAGAUCGGUAUCCGGCCUGAGAGGGCGCACGGACACACUGGAACUGAAACACGGUCCAGACUCCUACGGGAGGCAGCAGUGGGGAAUUUUGCGCAAUGGGGGAAACCCUGACGCAGCAACGCCGCGUGGAGGAUGAAGCCCCUUGGG